UCCAUAUAAUUGUAUGAUGUUACUCUCACUUCUGAUUUGACUUUCUUCAGGGAUGUGGCAAAGACUGAUAGAAUCAACUUGCUGAGAAAACGACAAAUUAAUAUUAAUUUGCAUACCUGCCUGGGUCAACUGUCCUUCAUCAUUAUGACUUUUAGUGAAAGUGGUCCGUUGACAUGUCAAUAUUUAUAGAACCAAAAAUUUGGGGCCAUUCCUAAGCGGAAGAAUUAUGUUUGACCUUUAAACUACCAGACUUAUGUCAGUCAGUGGGAGCUCUGCCUGGUAUAACUCAAACAGGAGCUGUGGAGAUAGAGUCCAGAGAUAUGUUCCUUAUCAGUGUUCUUCUCAACAUUUCCAUACAGACUGGUGCAGAUUGGGAGAUAUUUUCUCUGUCUUCCUCCAAACAUUUCUAUACAGACUGGUGCAGAUUGGGAGAUAUUUUCUCUGUCUUCCUCCAAACAUUUCUAUACAGACUGGUGCAGAUUGGGAGAUAUUUUCUCUGUCUUCCUCCAAACAUUUCCAUACAGACUGGUGCAGAUUGGGAGAUAUUUUCUCUGUCUUCCUCCAAACAUUUCCAA